ACACACACACACACACACACACACACACACACACACACACACACACACACACACACACACACACACACCUCUCUUCUCCUGGUCAGCCUACACCUCCCCUAAUGGUGUGAAAAGCAAAUGUUAUCUGUUUCACAACUCACAGGUGUUCUACAAAAAACACUGACUCAAUAAUCAUAAUAAUAAAUAUUAAGAGAACUCUAACAUAAAGUAAAAAAAAACAAAAAAAACAGAGAAUAAUAAUUAAAACACUAAUUUAUAUAAUAUAAUAUAUUAUGACUACAACAUCAACAUAACCUAUUUCUUCAAUUAGAAACAACAAGGUCCUGGCAGAUGCUCAGAAGCUUAAUUAUUAACCUCUUUACAAGAAAUCCAGCAUGCUCUCUCCUCACCCUCUCCUUUCAGUCCACUUAUAAAGAAAGAUGUUAGUGCUGCUCUUACUUACGUCCAUAAUGCCUCCCACCAUCCAUACUAGCUGUGAUAUUUGGCCCAGCCAUCCUACCCACCAUGUUCCACAACAGUAAAAGCCCCAACACAGAGCCCACCAGCACCCUCUCUGCAACUGUAAGAGGCAACUGGAAUGGAAAACAUUGUCUGUUCCUACUCAGCGAGGGGGAAAAAAGAGCAAGAGCACAAUGUGCAGUGAAUGUCUGUGGGAGACCGGGAGAGCAUACGGUGUCUAGCUCUAGCGUGGAUGCAGUGCAAAGAGAUUGCAGCACCAUCUGCUGGUAUACACAGAGUCCUAGAAAAGAAUGAAAAAGAAGCAAAGAGGAAAACUCUGAGAAAGCUGACGAGGGGAAGCAUGUUUUACUUGGGAAAUGAAAUAUUUAGUGACCUGUUGCUUUUGCCCUUCCACUGGAGGCAGAGGCCCUACAGCUGAGUAAACAGAAGGGCUGCAUAGUGGACAGGUAACAACUAGUGCCCAACCUCUGCAGCACUGACCAAUAAAACCACUGUUACCCCGGACACAGAGAUCAUACCUAAAAUUAAAAUAUGGCUUUUUUCCUUUUCUCUCAAACAAAAUAGAAAUGACUGUGUGCAAUUCAGAAAUAUUUUUCUCCGCUACUCAUUUUGAGGAAUAAAUCAAAUGUAAACUGCAGAACUGAACUUAAUAUGCAAUUAACUUUAUGUCCAUAAUGUGUGUACUAUUGUGUAUUUGAGCAGCAGUUGUAUGACAAUACUUUAACAAUAAAUAUGUGAGUGUACAUUUUUCUUAGCAAUGGUC